GCAGAUGCUAGUCUCUGAGAUUAAGCCAUGCAUGUCCGCGAAGAAGGGAGCGGCGAACGGCUCAGUAAUGCUGCGCUUAUCUGUGCUCGCGGGGCGAUAACCACGGGAAACAGUGGCUAAGGCGCGAGCGUGAGGCGCAGCCCCAUCAGCUUGUUGGCAGUGUAAUGGACUGCCAAGGCGGCGACGGGUGCCGGGGGAUCAGGGUCCUAUUCCGGAGAGGGAGCCUGAGAGAUGGCUCCCACGUCCAUGGACGGCAGCAGGCGCGGAAAUUGCCCACUCCAGCGGGGAGGCAGUUAUGAGACGUGUGCGUGCACGGCAAUUGCGUGUGCGGGCGACCGGAGGGCAAGCUCGGUGCCAACAGCCGCGG
rnacentral:rRNA from 1 species